UAAAAACUCGAGCAAUUUAUUGCAUUUCGAUGAAGGUGAGAAACUCAUAAAGGGCUGAUUAAAACACAACAAUCCAAAUGAAAGCAUCAGUAGCCGAGAUAUCUUAACUUUUAGCAUGAGUCAGUCUCCAAAAACACUGGAUUCUACGUUACCUUUCACAACUCAAUAGCAUCUUUCAUUAGACCCUCACAGCCUUCUUGUUACGCUGGCUUCAUAUGAAAGAUUUUAGGCCUCAAGGCCAAGCUGAGAGAACAAAAAAUCAUGUGCUUUGUUAAACUCCGAAAAGCUCCCUCCAGAGCUGCAGAAGACAUGAUGAAUGUGUGUGCACAAACUGAGUAGAACUACCCCAGACAAAUACACUGAAACGUAUAGCAGAGUGUCCCAUACCUAAGCCAUGAAUAAUUGUUAGAAAACGAUGCGUGUGCUGGUGAAAUUGUCAUUUAUUUAGUGUCAGAUACAUUUAAAUCCAUAAAAAAGCCUCCUAUUAGUCAUAUCAUAAGCUUCAAUGCUAAUGCUAUCUCAUCCUCUGUGUCUCUAAUGUGUUGGAGAACAUGGAGAGAUGUAACAUAUUAAACAUGUUGGAACUGGCAUUUUUAAAGCUCACACUGAUCUAAUACUAAAGAAAGCAGUAUAAUAAACUGGAACCACAUGUGCACUGGUGUCAGCAGGUGAAAAAUGAUGUCUCUCUUAGUGACCCAGUUACCAGCUUCUCUGACUUCUCUAGCACAUUUAGCCGAUGCAGCUUUUCUUAUUAAUAUUAAAUAAUUAAUGAAUGCACAUGAAUUUUACAUCUUUUUUUUGUUCAUUAGGUGCUGUGAGAUUUGGGGAGGGGAGGAGGCAGCGGUCUGGAAACCUUACAAGGAUGCCCCGGGGGAGGUCACAUGGGGUCAGCUCUCUGCAGCCAAAAGCUUGGCAGGGCUGGGAUUUGGAAUAUGCCUGCCGCCUGUGCGAUCCCAUUUCCCGUCCUGAACAUUGGGUUCUCCCAGUCAUAUCGAGGGUCCAACACUCUGAUGCCAGUGACCACGAAGUACCCCCAGAGAUCCUGUGUUUCUUCCCCUGACUGGUCAGAGUCGUUUUGGCAGCACAAGGAGGACCUACAAAAUGUUAAGCAGUUCUUAUUAAUGUUGCGGCUGAUUGGUGCAUACCCCUGACACAUGACGGAUGUUCGCUCCAGCUGUACAUGCACUAAAUUGAGUAAAAACAUUAUGCUUAUCCUUGUAUGACACCUUCACAGCUGGGCCAGUUGCUUUAAAAGCACUUUUAUGUAGCUUACCAGCACCUGUAAUAUCUUCUUUGUUAUUUCUGUGUAGCAUUAUGUGAUUUACGUACAGACUAAUUCACAAUGUAGCACUUUAUAAGAAGCCUGCCGAUUUCCUAAAUCUAACCAAUGUAGUAUCUCAAAUUGCAAAUACUAUUAAAUCUUCUCGUCAUGCGCUGAUAUUUCUAUGCGGCUAAAAAAAUAGAGUAGGUUUCAUUUGAUGCAAUAGGGACACCAUGUGGAAAGCAUCUGCCACUCCAUUUAAAAUAUGCCACCAUAUGUCGAGGAAAAAUGUCAGGGCACCCAAAGGGAGGUCGGAAAAGAUAAUUUAAUCUCAGAGUCAGGUACAGCAGGGUCAGUGGAGACCAGUUCACACUGCUGAUCCAUGGAAAAGAAGCAUAUACAUAUCUGACACAGAGUGUGAGUAAUAAUUCUAAAAGCGAUAACUAAUGAGCAAAAUGCUGAACGAUCUGUACAGAGGAAGAUUCGAUGUUUAAGAAUCACUGACAGAGCCAGCGUGAAAUGCCAAGCGGAAAUUUUGUCAGUUUAAUGAAGAAAUCCUCAAAGGUCGCUUACACAGAUGAUGACAUUUACAUUCUGCCAUCUGAAGACGCUGCAGAUCAUCUUUGGUUUUCUACUGAACGCAACAUAAUCAGCGAUAUUUUCCUGACCUUUAAACAACAAGUGCUUUUGAUAACAAUGUUUUAUAAGGCACAGUAAACUGUUUAUGCCUCUGCGACAUGUUUACAAAACCUGAGUAUCAUGCUCUCAAUCUGAAAACACACAACAACACUGUACAUUUGGGCUCUUUGGUUUGCCUGUUGAGUCAUAUAUGAGGCCAGUGUUGAUCUGUACAAUGUCCCAACAUGCCACUAAAAUGUAUUCCUUGUAAUUUGCUCAAAAUCAUAGUUAAAGCAUCUUGUACUACUAAGAUUGUUACUGGGACUACACACUCAUUCAUGAAAUCUUUCUGUGUCAGUAGUGGAAAAGAACCAGUGUAAUCCAAUUAGCAGAAUUAAAGAGACGCCAUUAAAAAAAAAUGGGGCCGCAUGUAACAGCGUCAGGGAUUAGAGACCUGCUGAACCCAUGUGACCUGGGUCAUGGCGAGGAGGAGCCGUCCUUGACAUGCUGAAGUCACAGCUGACAUGCAGAAUAGAUUAUUUUUAGUAAUGAAAUUAGAGUUUUCAUGUGGUUUUAAAUAUGGCCAAAUGCAAAAGGGCAUCACAAAGUUGUAUGAAUUACCAAAAACAAUAUGAGUUGCUAGUUUGAAGGAAUUUGAAUUUUUUUUAACAUGCUGGCUGUCACAAAUAAAUAAUACACACAGACAAAAAGCAGAGAUCCUGACCAGAAGUUAAACCAUAAGGGUGAUAAGAGUGCAAUAAGAGUGUGUAAAGAUUCACAGUCAAAAUACACUAUUAAAUAAAACAAGGAUGUUUAUAAAGUGAUAUGGGACAGGGAAUAAGGAGCAAAUUGUC